UUAAUACUAUACACCCGUUUUAAAAAAUCGGGCGACGGUGGUUUCUUUUUAUGACGUUGCUGCGUCGUGUUGUCAUUCGUCGUCGUCCUCCUCCAUCGUCGUCAUCGUGCCCAUGCAUCGCGUCUUCUGAUCUUCAUCCUCGACCAUCACCACCGGGUCAUCCGCCAUCCGCGCUGACGACGAACGUCUCCACGACGUCGACGAAGAUUUGUGAUAGGGUGGCCCGUCCCAUCGAGUAGAUUGAACGAAAAAAGUAAGGGGAAAAGUAAAGGGAAGGAAGGAAAAAAAAAAAAAAAAUAAAUAUGGAAGGAAGUCGCGUCGGGUCACUCGCUGAUUUCUUUAAAAAAGAAAAAAAAAAAAAAAAAGAGGAAGAAAAGGCUCGUUCACACCUGAGCUUAUUCCAUAAAUAAAGUUCGUCCUUAUCGUAUUGGAGAACCGUAUUGUCCAGCAUGAUGAUGAAUAUCUUUUUGAGCAAUUUUGCAUUCUUUCGAUGCCAAAAAUAAAAAUAAAAAUAAAAAGUAAGGAGAAAAAGGAGUGGAAUAAUAAUAUUUGGAGAUUAUAGAAGGUUAGAUAAUCGCAAUUUAGAGAAUCAAAAAAAAAAAGCGUUGUUCUACUUGUAUAAUAAAUAAGACACGAUAUUUUGUACGAGCGAAGUUCGCUUCGUUCAAGAACGAAAGGGUGGGAGGGAGAGGGGUUGAUCGCUCUCGUUAUACUCGACGUUGAACGCUCCUCCUCGUCAGCGAAACUUUGCUGAAGCUAACUCUCUCAACAGUUUAUCGUUAAUUAUACUUUUAUCGAGAUCUAUUUAAUCGAGAAGAAAGAGAAAGAGGGAGAGAGGGAGAGAGAGAGAGAGAGAGAGAAAAAAAGAAAAAAUAUUGGAGAAAGGAAGAAAAAUGCAUUGUGCAAUUUUACACAUACACGUACACGUACUUUGUACAGAAAUAAUAUACAUAGCGCGUAUUUUAGUGAUUAUUAUUAUUGUUAUUAUCAUCACUGCGAUCCUCGUUGAUUUUCGAUCACGCGUUUCGAUCGUGGAAGCAUCGAUCUUGAAACAAAAAAGAAAAAAAAUAUAUAUAUAAAUAUAUAUAUAUAUAUAUAUAAAUAUUUGUCUACGAAUAUCGGAUAUAUCGAUAUAUAGUUCUUCUAAAAAUUGAUCGAGUAGAGUAGAGAGAGAGAAUCCGGUGAUUUGAUUAGUAAAACACGUAGACAUUGUAAUUAAUUGGAUUAGAUCAAAAGAAUUCGUUUUCUUACGAAAGAGGAGAAAAAAAAAAAA